UGGGGAAUAUUGGACAAUGGGCGCAAGCCUGAUCCAGCAAUGCCGCGUGAGUGAUGAAGGCCUUAGGGUUGUAAAGCUCUUUCGCACGCGACGAUGAUGACGGUAGCGUGAGAAGAAGCCCCGGCUAACUUCGUGCCAGCAGCCGCGGUAAUACGAAGGGGGUCUAGCGUUGUUCGGAAUUACUGGGCGUAAAGGGCGCGUAGGCGGCCUGUUUAGUCAGAAGUGAAAGCCCCGGGCUCAACCUGGGAAUAGCCUUUGAUACUGGCAGGCUUGAGUUCCGGAGAGGAUGGUGGAAUUCCCAGUGUAGAGGUGAAAUUCGUAGAUAUUGGGAAGAACACCGGUGGCGAAGGCGGCCAUCUGGACGGACACUGACGCUGAGGCGCGAAAGCGUGGGGAGCAAACAGGAUUAGAUACCCUGGAUAGUCCACGCCGUAAACGAUGAAUGCUAGACGUCGGGGUGCAUGCACUUCGGUGUCGCCGCUAACGCAUUAAGCAUUCCGCCUGGGGAGUACGGCCGCAAGGUUAAAACUCAAAUGAAUUGACGGGGUCAUAGCGUUUCCU
rnacentral:rRNA from 1 species